rnacentral:rRNA from 1 species
UGGUUGUAGUUCAACGCCCGUAGUAAACCAAAGGGUUAUAGUUAUUGAUCUGACCAGUACUGUUCGUAACGUCAGCCACGUAUCGUGGGUGAUAGGACGAAUAAGAGACAGGUCCUCGGUCUCUAACGGAAGCUAAGGUUUCCUUAGCAUCCGCCACGGGAUAGGUCAAUGAUUAUGGCUCGCUCCCUGCCAGUCCGUAAGGUCUGGUAGGGCCAUUCGGCACAACCGUAAACAAAUCAGAAGCGCUCCAAGCAGGCAAUGUUAGGGGUAACCCAUUCGCUCGAAUGAUUUAGCAUGGAAUUGUCACGAAGCCGAUCGGAAACUUUGAGGGUUUACCUGAGAAGUGGAAGAUCCGGCGCUCGCAAUGAGACACUGGUAGAGGAUCCAAGUACUAUGGCGCGAGAGGUGAAAUUCAGUGACCGCCAUAUGACUAUCUAAUGCGAAAGCAGUUGUGAUCCAGAACGUGUCUGUCAAUCAGGGACGAAAGUUAAGGGAUCGAAGAUGAUUAGAUACCGUCGUAGUCUUAACCGUAAACGAUACCAACACGAGAUUGGUAGUGAGACUUUUAGAUCCUAUCAGAAUCCAAGGGAAACCGUUAAGUUUUUGGGUUCUGGGGGGAGUAAUGGUCGCAAGGCUGAAACUUAAAGGAAUUGACGGAAAGGCACCACCAGGAGUG